UACGUAGGUGGCAAGCGUUGUCCGGAAUUAUUGGGCGUAAAGCGCGCGCAGGCGGUCCUUUAAGUCUGAUGUGAAAGCCCACGGCUCAACCGUGGAGGGUCAUUGGAAACUGGGGGACUUGAGUGCAGGAGAGAAGAGUGGAAUUCCACGUGUAGCGGUGAAAUGCGUAGAGAUGUGGAGGAACACCAGUGGCGAAGGCGACUCUUUGGCCUGUAACUGACGCUGAGGCGCAGAAAGCGUGG
rnacentral:rRNA from 1 species